rnacentral:RNase_P_RNA from 1 species
GCAGGCCAGGUGAUUGCGUAUACAAGGAGCAAUCCUGUAUAUGAGGAAAGUCCGGGCUCCACAGGGCAGGAUGCAAGCUAACGGCUUGCGGAGGCGACUUCAGGGAAAGUGCAACAGAAAUAUACCGCCCGCUAUGGCGGGUAAGGGCGAAAAGGCGAGGUAAGAGCUCACCCACCCCUAUGGUGACAUAGGGGUGCUGUAAACCCCAUCCGGAGCAACGCCUGAACAAGAGAUUAAGUUUGCCCGACGACUCUUAAAAAGGCGGCUUGAGGCGUUUGGUGACAAAUGUCCCAGAUAGAUGAUCACCCACGACAGAACCCGGCUUACGGCCUG